GGAUCCAGACUUUGAUCCUGGCUCAGGAUGAACGCUGGCGGCGUGCCUAACACAUGCAAGUCGAGCGAUUCUCUUCGGAGAAGAGCGGCGGACGGGUGAGUAACGCGUGGGUAACCUGCCCUGUACACACGGAUAACAUACCGAAAGGUAUGCAAAUACGAGAUAAUAUGCUUUUAUCGCAUGGUAGAAGUAUCAAAGCUCCGGCGGUACAGGAUGGACCCGCGUCUGAUUAGCUAGUUGGUAAGGUAACGGCUUACCAAGGCGACGAUCAGUAGCCGACCUGAGAGGGUGAUCGGCCACAUUGGAACUGAGACACGGUCCAAACUCCUACGGGAGGCAGCAGUGGGGAAUAUUGCACAAUGGGCGAAAGCCUGAUGCAGCAACGCCGCGUGAGCGAUGAAGGCCUUCGGGUCGUAAAGCUCUGUCCUCAAGGAAGAUAAUGACGGUACUUGAGGAGGAAGCCCCGGCUAACUACGUGCCAGCAGCCGCGGUAAUACGUAGGGGGCUAGCGUUAUCCGGAAUUACUGGGCGUAAAGGGUGCGUAGGUGGUUUCUUGAGUCAGAGGUGAAAGGCUACGGCUCAACCGUAGUAAGCCUUUGAAACUGGGAAACUUGAGUGCAGGAGAGGAGAGUGGAAUUCCUAGUGUAGCGGUGAAAUGCGUAGAUAUUAGGAGGAACACCAGUUGCGAAGGCGGCUCUCUGGACUGUAACUGACACUGAGGCACGAAAGCGUGGGGAGCAAACAGGAUUAGAUACCCUGGUAGUCCACGCCGUAAACGAUGAGUACUAGCUGUCGGAGGUUACCCCCUUCGGUGGCGCAGCUAACGCAUUAAGUACUCCGCCUGGGAAGUACGCUCGCAAGAGUGCAACUCAAAGGAAUUGACGG
rnacentral:rRNA from 1 species